UACGUAGGGGGCAAGCGUUAUCCGGAUUUACUGGGUGUAAAGGGAGCGUAGACGGCAUUGCAAGUCCGGAGUGAAAGCCCACGGCCCAACCGUGGGACUGCUCUGGAAACUGUAGAGCUGGAGUGCGGGAGGGGCAGGCGGAAUUCCUAGUGUAGCGGUGAAAUGCGUAGAUAUUAGGAGGAACACCGGCGGCGAAGGCGGCCUGCUGGACCGUAACUGACGUUGAGGCUCGAAAGCAUGGGGAGCAAACAGG
rnacentral:rRNA from 1 species